CAGAGUGGCCGGAUCUGUCAGUGAGGAGGCCGGUGCCACCGGAUCUAGCGGUCCCGGCCUCCUCGUUAGCGGAUGCGGCGGUGGGA
rnacentral:pre_miRNA from 1 species